rnacentral:rRNA from 1 species
GCAGAACGCGAAGAACCUUACCAGCCCUUGACAUGGCUCGUUUGAUUUCCGGAGACGGAUUUCUUCAGUUCGGCUGGCGAGCACACAGGUGCUGCAUGGCUGUCGUCAGCUCGUGUCGUGAGAUGUUGAGUUAAGUCCCGCAACGAGCGCAACCCUUAUCGUAUGUUGCCAGCAUUUAGUUGGGCACUCAUGCGAGACUGCCGGUGACAAGCCGGAGGAAGGCGGGGACGACGUCAAGUCAUCAUGGCCCUUACGUGUGGGGCUAGAAACGUGCUACAAUGGCGGUGACAAUGGGCAGCGAGAUCGUGUGGUCAAGCUAAUACCCAAAAAGCCGUCUCAGUUCAGAUUGUAGUCUGCAACUCGACUACAUGAAGUUGGAAUCGCUAGUAAUCGCAAAUCAGCAUGUUGCGGUGAAUACGUUCCCGGGUCUUGUACACACC